AUCCUGCGGCCCCCUCCCCAUCACUGCCACGCCCUCCAGCGUCGUGUGCCCCCAAGUGUGUCCCAGAGAGGCUCCUUCCUCUGUCUGCCAAGGGCUCUUCUGUGGUGGUGGUGGAGGGCCUCUCCAAUCCUCCCAAGGGUCCUCUCAGAAGACCCCCACCGUCCUCCACACCCAGGACAUCCAUGUUGCUGAGUCUGGAGGUUCCUGCAGGGGCUGUGAGAUCUCCUUUCACAGAUGGUUCCAUCUCUCUCUGGAAGUUUCCCCAGCUACAAAGUCCUUCUCCAUCCCUCUGGCCAGGGCAGACUGUGGUCAUUUGCCUGCCUUGUCUAGUGUCCUACAGAAGUGUCUGGUGAAGUGCGGUCAGAUGAUUAUAAAAGGAUGGACAUGCGACUGGUGGAGACAGUCCUGGUGUACGGACAGAGGGACGGAGCCCAGGGAGGCUGUGGCUGAGGCUGACCCUGGCUUUGUAAGUGCCUUUUCCUCCCUGGCCCCUCAGGGUUGCUGUCUAUGUGGGAGCUCCUUUGUAAUGAUCUAAUUGGAGCGGUAACGGAUGUAGCAUUCUGCCACAGCUAACAGCGGGAUUGGAAUUUGAGGAGACGCAGAGACAAAUUACCUCUGAAUUUUCUUGCAGCCAUAAAAGCUUUUACUGUAUAGUAAUUUUCCAUUUCUGCUGCAGGCAUAUUUGCAUAUUGCUUAACAAUUUAUCUCCCGUCAUUUGUCAGAUAUUAUCCAUCUCCUGUUAAUAAGCUAAGACAGGUCAUAUUAAGACUUCGCAGGCCUCCUGAGCUCGCCAUCAGCCCAGCUCUCCUGCCCACAGGGCCUCCCUGCUGUGGUUGCAGACGGGGC
rnacentral:lncRNA from 1 species